GCCUGGGUGGCUCAGUCGGUUGAGCGUCUGACUCCGGCUCAGGUCAUGAUCUUGCGGUUCAUGAGUUCAAGCCCCGUGUUGGGCU
rnacentral:tRNA from 1 species